rnacentral:rRNA from 1 species
UGGGGAAUUUUGGACAAUGGGCGCAAGCCUGAUCCAGCCGUGCCGCGUGUCUGAAGAAGGCCUUCGGGUUGUAAAGGACUUUUGUCAGGGAAGAAAAGGCUGUCGCUAAUACCGACAGUUGAUGACGGUACCUGAAGAAUAAGCACCGGCUAACUACGUGCCAGCAGCCGCGGUAAUACGUAGGGUGCGAGCGUUAAUCGGAAUUACUGGGCGUAAAGCGAGCGCAGACGGUUACUUAAGCAGGAUGUGAAAUCCCCGGGCUCAACCUGGGAACUGCGUUCUGAACUGGGUGACUAGAGUGUGUCAGAGGGAGGUAGAAUUCCACGUGUAGCAGUGAAAUGCGUAGAGAUGUGGAGGAAUACCGAUGGCGAAGGCAGCCUCCUGGGAUAACACUGACGUUCAUGCUCGAAAGCGUGGGUAGCAAACAGGAUUAGAUACCCUGGUAGUCCACGCCCUAAACGAUGUCAAUUAGCUGUUGGGCAACUUGAUUGCUUAGUGGCGUAGCUAACGCGUGAAAUUGACCGCCUGGGGAGUACGGUCGCAAGAUUA